rnacentral:rRNA from 1 species
UACGGAGGGUGCAAGCGUUGUCCGGAUUUAUUGGGUUUAAAGGGUGCGUAGGCGGCUUCGUAAGUCCGUUGUGAAAGUCAAAGGCUCAACCUUUGAAAGCCGAUGGAUACUGUGAAGCUAGAGUACGGAAGAGGCGAGUGGAAUUCCUGGUGUAGCGGUGGAAUGCGCAGAUAUCAGGAGGAACACCAAUAGCGAAGGCAGCUCGCUGGGACGUUACUGACACUGAGGCGCGAAAGCGUGGGGAGCGAACAGG